UGGCCUGCAGUACUGCACUCUAACUGCUGCGCCACCUCGGCUCCUAUUGUAACUGGGAGAGUAAUAAAAUCAAACAAAAGAAAAUAAGAAUGAAAACAGUUUGGUUAAGAGAGAGAAAGAGUCAUAGAUCCCAAGAUAUGAAUUCAAAAUUUCUUGGCUCAUUAAUAUUCAAGCGUUUGUUUUAGAGAAAGUAAAAAAAAAAGUAUACAUCAUCUGCCAUUAGAAAUAAAUUGGAAUAUAAAAAGGCUAUUAAAAUUUAGAAUGCUUAAUUUAGUUUUUAGCAUCAUAUAUAUUUCUUGUAUAAAAAUUACAAUAUAAGCUUAAAAACUAUAAAUGUCUGUGGAGAUUCUCAGUCAUCCAUGUCAUGGAUGUCCCAAAGGUGCUUUUUCAAAAAGUUCAAGGAAAAACAAAGUCCAGUUGCCUUUUGAAAAAGCAACUUUGGUUAAAAACUAUAACAUACAGCUCAUAAAUCACAUUUUAAGAAGCAGACUCUAUUGUGGAUUCUUCCAAAGUAAGCAUAUCAGACUUUCUAAAGCGCUAGAUGGCAAUCUUUCACUUUAGUAAGUUAUCUCAAUAAUAAAAUAUUCUGCCUUGCUGAGAUAGUUAAAAAAAUCUAAGUGAAGUAAAUAAUUCUAAACUUAAUUCCACAAAAACUGAAGCCUCGCUAAUGCCAAAGAAAAAUUCAAGCGGUGAUUAUGUUUUAAGGUCAAUGGGGCUUCAUGAUGCUGAUUUUUUAUUGAAUUGUACUAUCUUAAAAAAAUAUCCCCUUAUAUUAUUUGAUGGGAAUGAAGCUGAUACUGCCAUGUUUUUUACUAUGGAUUAAGCUUUGUUGCAAAAAUGAUGCAUACAUUUUAAGGAAAAGUGAAGACAUGAACUUUCUCAGAAAUGACAGCAUUUUCAUAUACAGCAAUAUAGCAGGAAUAUGCCAUGAUGAUGUGUCCGAUUUCAUGGAUUUGCAACCUGAUUAGGUUUUUGUUGAUGUAUUGACAAUAUUAUUAAAUAUGUUUAAAGAAAACAUUAUGUAGAACCAUUGUAAGCCUGUUGUUGGUUGCUUUUGGUAAUAUUGCUCUUGCAGACACUGCGUAUCUAUAGUUCUCAACUAUAGGGGAAAAUUAGAUCUUUUGUGACCAUAUGCUACAUAUCACAAUAUAAGUUGAAUUUUGCAUGAAAAAAUUCAAAACUAUAGGAUUCAACACCAUGCAAAUUAAUUACUGUUGCUUUGAGGAACAAUGGCAGGAAAAUUAAUAUAUUUUAAUUUAGCUGAGUGGGCCCAAUUGGCAAAACAAAGCUCAGGACCUUAUUGGUUGGAAACAUGUGGAAGAGGCCUUAUCCUGAAUGGAAAGACAAUGGUUAAAAUGAUGAUGAUGAUGAACUUAGUUGAGUAUCUUUUGUUCAGAACCAUAUCCAGUGGUUCUGGUACCUAUUUCCAAAUAUCCUAUCUGAGUAAGGAAUGUGUCGCGUAUCUUGCAAUUGCAGAGCAUUAUUUAUUUUAACAUUGGCAACGCCCUACCACAACCAGUGGUGUUAGUAUUUUGUUGAAGCAGUUUAGCAUUGGUCAUAUAGGCCCAAGGAAUAAAGGCUAUUUUACAGUAAUGAAAACUUUCUACUGUCAUUUAGUCUUAAGUUGUAAUGCAAAGCUGCUGUUUAGUUUCUCUGGAGCUUUGCUGGCUGUCCCUCUACACUCACCCCUUUUCAUGAUUUUAGAAGCCUCAAGCACCCCAACCAUUUUCUUCUGAAAAGUGGGACACAUUUAAAUUAAUCUCACUUCAACUUAAAUAUGAGUAUUCUGUGCAAAAGAAAAUGACAAACAAACAAAAACCUCAAACCUAUUUUUGUUACCUUGGUUUGGAUUGCCAACAUUUCAUUUCUUUUGAAAGAGUUACUAGGUUUGCUUUAGCCAUCCAGAAGCAUAAACUGUAUGUCCUUACAGUGGAAUAUCAAUGGCAAAAAUCUAUUAAAUCUUUUUCUUUGUUGCUUCUAAAAGCUAUGCCUAUAUUAUCAACACAACAUUAAAAUUUCUAUAGAACUCAUAGUUGUGGAACAUUAUAAUGUAGACUAGGCGUUCUUGGAUUGGUAAAUUGUUCCAAUAUCUGCCUAAUUGUUGGCAACCCAAAAGAAUUCUUUGGGAAGGAAAUUGUUAUCUUAGAAGCAGCCAAGCAACAUUUAACAGUAGCUUUAGCUCUGCAAAAUCUCUUUAAGGAAUUUAAAGCCUUUUGCGCAGAACAGGGAGAGGCACAGUGAGUUAUUGCUUCCAAUUUGGCUGAGUUUUCCUGGGAAGCCAUAGAGGCUGGUUUCCCCUUAAAAAAAAACUUGCUUAUUUUAGAAUACCCAUUACAUCAAACUAUAGCUGAAGCAACUGGUCUUCUGAUACCAGAAUAUUAUCUUCUGAUGGCUAUUCUCUGUAAAGUUUAAAGCACAGCCAGAAAUGCAGCAACCAGUUAUGUACUCUGCAUGGAUUGUAAACAAAGUGUAUGAGAUUUACAACUUUUACUGCAGUACUAUAGAACUGCACUUUUCUACUCUAUGAAUAGCAUGUUUAAAAUAACAAUAAAGACAUUUCUUUGGGUAAUCACGAUUCAGGGCAAAUUAAAAUAAAACUGGGAGAGAAAAUAACUAUUAUUUGGAGUUGAGUGCAUGUUUAUAACUAUCAUAUUCUUGUUUAAAUGACCAAUAUGCAUAAAAUAUCCAUAAAACACUAAAAUUAUGGAGAAAAUUACUUUCACAUCUAAUAUAAAGCAUUAUCUUUUUUCUUCUCCUAAUGAAUUAAAAUGAAAUAACUAUCAUUCCAUAAUUUUCUCAAAACCCCAAACUAUCAUUCCAUAAUUUUAUCAAACCAUUGAUAACAUCACAAAUUUCCAGGGUAGUUAUCAUCAAUUAGCAAAAGAAUUAAUAUAUUACUUUAACUGAGUUCCUCAAUUGUCAAAGUGGGAUCAGGCAAGCAGUGGCAACCAUAUAGGUUUAUUUUGAAAACAAGCUAAAUAAAAUAUAUGGAAACCUUGGCACCAAAAAUUCUAUCGAUUAUUGAUUUUUAGUAAUACUGCAUCAUAUGGAAGUUCAGAAGAUUUCAUUUGAAAGAACUAGAGGACAAGGUUCAAAAGCAUCUCCCAUCUAUAACAUUUUCCCCCAGAGUUAUAUAACAACACAUUCCAUAAAACAAUAAAUCAGUAGGCUUAAGUGUAUAUAACAUUGCUGAAUUGUGACCAAUAAAUUCUAAAACUCUUGCAACAUAUCAGAUACCCCCAAUUCUGGAACUGAGAUAUGUUUGACUAUACCAUUGUUUACCUCUUUGAACUCACUAAAAAGGUAUUAAAAGGACUUAUCUUUAAAGCUUUUAAUCAUAGCAACUCCUACAAAUAUUGCCUCCAAAUUCAGUCUUUUUUUACUCAAUAGAACUUACUUCCAAGUAAUUGAGCAAAAACUUGCAACCUAGCCAUGCGUGAAAAAGCCAGCCCAAUGAGCUACUAACUUAAGUACAUAGAUUGUGCCAAUGGUCACUUUAUUUGUUCCCUCUAUUUCAGAUUAUGCUAAAGAAUGCGGAUGAAUGCAAUAAAGUAAGCUUGUGUGCGUCUUUCAACUUUUGCCAUUUGGAAUCCCACAAACGCUCUUUUUACUGACCUGGACCCCACCGCACCCCCCAUAACUUGAAUUUCCAUCUGUCAGAAAGCUAAGAAACGAACUUAAAAAAUAGGCUGAUGACACUCUUCUGGAUUUUUUUGGUACCUAGCAAAAAUAGCGCCCUCAUCAGUUUUCUUUCUUUUUUUUCACAAGGGGAAACAACUGUCGAUUUGUCGUCUGAACCGUCUUUCACGCCACCUAAAGAAUGGCCUGUGUUCCCACUGGUAUUUGCUGUAAUCCAGGGGUCCCCAACCCUCGGGCCAUGGACCAGGACCAUUACAUGGCCUGUUAGGAACUGGGCCACCCAACUGGAGGACUAGGAGAAACUGUUGAAGAAUUUUCUGUCUAAGCUGCCAAAAUAAACUAUCUGGCCAUGAACUUUAUGCACUAUAAAUUGGGGAAAUGGGAGGAAACACAAUUUACUGUUCUAUUGCAGCUGAGUUUUGGCUGUGCAACAUGGGAAUGCUCCAAGAUGUGCCAAAUGGGGCUGCAUUACUUCCUCUGUUUGAGAUUCAGUCCAGUUCAAACAGGUUAAGAUAAAGAACAUUUUAUGUAGUUGCUACAGAAAAAGAGAUGUGCUUAAUUCAUCACGCCUCCCCUAGAAGUGUUGGCAAAAGCAGCUGUCUGAGAAUUGUAGCCUCUAAGUGUGUUUAUGAUAUGAUUUACUCUUCUCUUUCAUUAAUUGUUCAAAUUUACUCAGUGAAUCCCAUUUCCUCUUCUGAAGCAAAGUAUAGAACAAGUGUAAAAUAAUUUGACAUUGCAUCCCAUCAUUUUGGAGUAAUAAAGCCAAACUUAGGAUUUCGCUGUGAGAUUUCAUUGUAUAAACACGCACACAUUUACCAAUAAAAUCUUAA